rnacentral:tRNA from 1 species
UAUAGAGUGAUGUAUCAUUAGCAUAAUGCUUUUUGGUAGCAUAGGAGGUAGAAACCCUCUAUAA